rnacentral:rRNA from 1 species
CUUACCUGGUCUUGACAUCCACGGAAUUCGGCAGAGAUGCCUUAGUGCCUUCGGGAACCGUGAGACAGGUGCUGCAUGGCUGUCGUCAGCUCGUGUUGUGAAAUGUUGGGUUAAGUCCCGCAACGAGCGCAACCCUUAUCCUUUGUUGCCAGCGGUCCGGCCGGGAACUCAAAGGAGACUGCCAGUGAUAAACUGGAGGAAGGUGGGGAUGACGUCAAGUCAUCAUGGCCCUUACGACCAGGGCUACACACGUGCUACAAUGGCGCAUACAAAGAGAAGCGACCUCGCGAGAGCAAGCGGACCUCAUAAAGUGCGUCGUAGUCCGGAUUGGAGUCUGCAACUCGACUCCAUGAAGUCGGAAUCCCUUGUAAUCG